GGGGAUUUAGCUCAGUGGUAGAGCCCUUGCCUAGCAAGCAGAGGAAGGCCCUGGGUUCGGUCCCCAGCCCCG
rnacentral:tRNA from 1 species